ACCGGCAGCUCAAGUGGUGGCCAUUUUUAUUGGGCCUAAAGCGUUCGUAGCCGGUUUGAUAAGUCUCUGGUGAAAUCCCGCAGCUUAACUGUGGGACUUGCUGGAGAUACUAUUAGACUUGAGGUCGGGAGAGGUUAGGGGUACUCCCAGGGUUGGCGUGAAAGCAUAUAACCCUGGGAGGACCAACUGUGGCGAGGGGGCCUAACGGGAACAAACCUGACGUUGAGUAACGAAAGACAGUGGCGUGCUUCA
rnacentral:rRNA from 1 species